rnacentral:rRNA from 1 species
UGCAAACGAUGUCGAUUUGGAGGUUGUUCCCUUGAGGAGUGGCUUCCGGAGCUAACGCGUUAAAUCGACCGCUGGGGAGUACGGCCGCAAGGUUAAAACUCAAAUGAAUUGACGGGGGCCCGCACAGCGGUGGAGCAUGUGGUUUAAUUCGAUGCAACGCGAAGAACCUUACCUACUCUUGACAUCCAGAGAAUUUAGCAGAGAUGCUUUAGUGCCUUCGGGAACUCUGAGACAGGUGCUGCAUGGCUGUCGUCAGCUCGUGUUGUGAAAUGUUGGGUUAAGUCCCGCAACGAGCGCAACCCUUAUCCUUUGUUGCCAGCACAUUAUGGUGGGAACUCAAAGGAGACUGCCGGUGAUAAACCGGAGGAAGGUGGGGAUGACGUCAAGUCAUCAUGGCCCUUACGAGUAGGGCUACACACGUGCUACAAUGGCGUAUACAAAGAGAAGCGACCUCGCGAGAGCAAGCGGAACUCAUAAAGUACGUCGUAGUCCGGAUUGGAGUCUGCAACUCGACUCCAUGAAGUCGGAAUCGCUAGUAAUCGUAGAUCAGAAUGCUACGGUGAAUACGUUCCCGGGCCUUGUACACACCGCCCGUCACACCAUGGGAGUGGGUUGCAAAAGAAGUAGGUAGCUUAACCUUCGGGAGGGCGCUUACCACUUUGUGAUUCAUGACUGGGGUGAAGUCGUAACAAGGUAACCA